rnacentral:rRNA from 1 species
GACGAACGCUGGCGGCGUGCUUAACACAUGCAAGUCGAACGGAAAGGCCCUGCUUUUGUGGGGUGCUCGAGUGGCGAACGGGUGAGUAACACGUGAGUAACCUGCCCUUGACUUUGGGAUAACUUCAGGAAACUGGGGCUAAUACCGGAUAGGAGCUCCUGCUGCAUGGUGGGGGUUGGAAAGUUUCGGCGGUUGGGGAUGGACUCGCGGCUUAUCAGCUUGUUGGUGGGGUAGUGGCUUACCAAGGCUUUGACGGGUAGCCGGCCUGAGAGGGUGACCGGCCACAUUGGGACUGAGAUACGGCCCAGACUCCUACGGGAGGCAGCAGUGGGGAAUAUUGCACAAUGGGCGGAAGCCUGAUGCAGCAACGCCGCGUGCGGGAUGACGGCCUUCGGGUUGUAAACCGCUUUCGCCUGUGACGAAGCGUGAGUGACGGUAAUGGGUAAAGAAGCACCGGCUAACUACGUGCCAGCAGCCGCGGUGAUACGUAGGGUGCGAGCGUUGUCCGGAUUUAUUGGGCGUAAAGGGCUCGUAGGUGGUUGAUCGCGUCGGAAGUGUAAUCUUGGGGCUUAACCCUGAGCGUGCUUUCGAUACGGGUUGACUUGAGGAAGGUAGGGGAGAAUGGAAUUCCUGGUGGAGCGGUGGAAUGCGCAGAUAUCAGGAGGAACACCAGUGGCGAAGGCGGUUCUCUGGGCCUUUCCUGACGCUGAGGAGCGAAAGCGUGGGGAGCGAACAGGCUUAGAUACCCUGGUAGUCCACGCUGUAAACGGUGGGUACUAGGUGUGGGGUCCAUUCCACGGGUUCCGUGCCGUAGCUAACGCUUUAAAUACCCCGCCUGGGGAGUACGGCCGCAAGGCUAAAACUCAAAGGAAUUGACGGGGCCCCGCACAAGCGGCGGAGCAUGCGGAUUAAUUCGAUGCAACGCGUAGAACCUUACCUGGGUUUGACAUGGAUCGGGAGUGCUCAGAGAUGGGUGUGCCUCUUUUGGGGUCGGUUCACAGGUGGUGCAUGCCUGUCGUCAGCUCGUGUCGUGAGAUGUUGGGUUAAGUCCCGCAACGAGCGCAACCCUUGUUCACUGUUGCCAGCACGUUAUGGUGGGGACUCAAUGGAGACCGCCGGGGUCAACUCGGAGGAAGGUGGGGAUGACGUCAAGUCAUCAUGCCCCUUAUGUCCAGGGCUUCACGCAUGCUACAAUGGCUGGUACAGAGAGUGGCGAGCCUGUGAGGGUGAGCGAAUCUCGGAAAGCCGGUCUCAGUUCGGAUUGGGGUCUGCAACUCGACCUCAUGAAGUCGGAGUCGCUAGUAAUCGCAGAUCAGCAACGCUGCGGUGAAUACGUUCCCGGG